CUGCUUGCCCUGCUGAGGUCCUCACUCUGCCUCCUUGCUCCGCUGAAGACCUCACUCCGCCUCCUUACCCGCUGAGGUCCUCGCUCCACCUUCUUGCCCCGCUGAGGUCCUCGCUCCACCUUCUUGCCCCGCUGAGGUCCUCGCUCCACCUUCUUGCCCCGCUGAGGUCCUCGCGCCACCUUCUUGCCCCGCUGAGGUACUCGCUACACCUUCUUGCUCCACUGAGGACCUCGCUCGUCCCCCUUGCUUUGCGGUGUACGUCGCUCCCCCUUCUUGCUUCGCAAAGGACGUUGCUCCUCCCUCUGGCAUCGGGAGAACAUUGCUUCCAGUCUGUCUCCGCCUGGACUUCAAACCUCUCCGCUGGCUUUGUGGUGGCCAUUGCUCCGUUCUCGUGCUCCACCUUGAAC
ensembl:lncRNA